CGGGACGUAGCGCAGCCCGGUAGCGCACACGUCUGGGGGGCGUGUGGUCGCUGGUUCGAAUCCAGUCGUCCCGA
rnacentral:tRNA from 3 species